CAAAUGGAGCUUGACAUCACUGCUCUGCACGAAUCUGAAAGAUUUCAUGACAUGACAAAAGAGAAAUGGCAGAAAUGUGGAGUCACUUAUCCAUUAGUCAUCCUGACUGCACACAUAAAGUCCUGUGUGUCAGCUGAUGAAGCUGAACAGAUCAAACAAGGAAGAUAUAUUAAAGUAGUUAAAUUCAUUUAAUUUAAUACAUAAUUUGAAAGUUUAAUAAGGUAUGAUAAAUAUUUUUUAGAACUGCUUUUGGAGACACCAGAUUAUCUCAAAAAUACUGAUAACACGUAUUUCUCAGGUUUUUGUUUCUUGCAUAUGCAGGUUAAAGGGAAAAUUAUGUCUUUUAGUCUUUCAUAUGUCAUUCAUAACCUGUAUAACUUUAAAACGCAAAAAAAAAAAAAAAAUUCAAUAAAUAAUUGGAAGAUUAUUUUUUUCACAUUUAAUGAUCAGUCUUCAGAAUAUCUUGUUGUUACAUCCAUGGUAAAUAAUUUUUUUGGAACUGAUAAUACACUUCUGUGACAUAAAACUGAAAUAGAAUACACAAUUAGCUUUAGCUGAACUGUUGAUAUGUUGCUUUUUUUUUUUUUUUUUUUUUGCAGAUUGGAAAUCUGAACCAGAUAAAAAUAAAGCAUCAUCCUUGUACACAAUGUAAAUAAUUUGGCAACAUGAGAUGAGAAAGCCCCUCUUGAUGAGCAUGGAUUUGAGGAUGGACAAGGAAGAUCAAGACAGAGAACUUGUUGCAUUCUACAAACAAAACGGCAUAGAAUGGACAAGCCCUGUGACGUGCAGACUCCAAGGGGAUGCUGCCAUUGCUGAAGGAGUAACCAGACAUUUCUUGUCUACUGUUAUA